GGGCACUUAGUCCAAAAAAGACCAUUAACUUCGACUUAGUAAAUUGUGGUGAAAACCCACAAGUGCCUU
rnacentral:tRNA from 1 species